rnacentral:ncRNA from 2 species
CUCUUCCUAUCAUUGUGA